rnacentral:tRNA from 1 species
GCGCCGGUAGUCCAGCCUGGUAAGACACAGGCCCUCCAAGCCUGGGACCCGGGUUCGAAUCCCGGCCGGCGCA